rnacentral:rRNA from 1 species
UGGGGAAUAUUGCGCAAUGGGGGAAACCCUGACGCAGCAACGCCGCGUGAAGGACGAAGGCCUUCGGGUUGUAAACUUCUUUGAUUGGGGACGAAUAAAUGACGGUACCCAAAAAACAAGCCACGGCUAACUACGUGCCAGCAGCCGCGGUAAUACGUAGGUGGCGAGCGUUAUCCGGAUUUACUGGGUGUAAAGGGCGUGUAGGCGGGACUGUAAGUCAGAUGUGAAAUUCCGAAGCUUAACUUCGGCACUGCAUCUGAAACUAUGGUUCUUGAGUACUGGAGAGGAAAGUGGAAUUCCUAGUGUAGCGGUGAAAUGCGUAGAUAUUAGGAGGAACACCAGUGGCGAAGGCGACUUUCUGGACAGUAACUGACGCUGAGGCGCGAAAGCGUGGGGAGCAAACAGG